rnacentral:rRNA from 1 species
UACGUAGGGUGCGAGCGUUGUCCGGAAUUACUGGGCGUAAAGAGUUCGUAGGCGGUUUGUCGCGUCGUUCGUGAAAACUUGGGGCUUAACUCCAAGCGUGCGGGCGAUACGGGCAGACUUGAGUACUACAGGGGAGACUGGAAUUCCUGGUGUAGCGGUGAAAUGCGCAGAUAUCGGGAAGAACACCCGUGGCGAAGGCGGCUCUCUGGGACGGUACUGACGCUGAGACGCGAAAGCGUGGGGAGCGAACAGG